GGGGUAUUUGUGCUGAUGAAAGUGCACCCUCUGUCAGGUUAUACUUUACAAUGUCAUCUGCCACCAAUUUCCUUCUAACAUUGUAAUAUUCCAGCCACACUAAAGUAUGAUUUGCAAGUCCAGGAAUAUGUCAAUAAACUUUUGUAAAACGAAGUUUAAAAACAGGUAUCUGUUAUUUUUAUUUACAGGAUUCUUUUCUGCUACGGAACACCUCCCUUGGUACAACCCAAAAGACCAGUGUUUACUUUUCAUUAAAGAAUGGGGCCUGCUUGAUAUAUCAGCAGGUGAAGAACCAAAGAAGGGUUUAUCUUUAUUCUUCUUAGCAUUGAGAGUCUUC
rnacentral:lncRNA from 12 species